rnacentral:rRNA from 1 species
CCCAGACUCCUACGGGAGGCAGCAGUGGGGAAUAUUGCACAAUGGGGGAAACCCUGAUGCAGCAACGCCGCGUGAGUGAAGAAGUAUUUCGGUAUGUAAAGCUCUAUCAGCAGGGAAGAAAAUGACGGUACCUGAGUAAGAAGCCCCGGCUAACUACGUGCCAGCAGCCGCGGUAAUACGUAGGGGGCAAGCGUUAUCCGGAUUUACUGGGUGUAAAGGGAGCGUAGACGGCGAUGCAAGUCUGAAGUGAAAGCCCGGGGCUCAACCCCGGGACUGCUUUGGAAACUGUAUGGCUGGAGUGCUGGAGAGGCAAGCGGAAUUCCUAGUGUAGCGGUGAAAUGCGUAGAUAUCAGGAGGAACACCGGCGGCGAAGGCGGCCUGCUGGACCGUGACUGACGUUGAGGCUCGAGAGCGUGGGGAGCAAACAGGAUUAGAUACCCUCGUA